GAGGGCUUGUGUCCUAAUCCUCAUUUGGUCAGUCUUGAUCAUUGAUUAACCAAGUAUCUCAGAGUAAACUUAAACAUGAUAGAGAUUCAUGGGAAUGCAGGCGGCAGAAGAACCUGUGUAGUCUGGUCUUAUUUUUGUAAAAGAAAUGCAUGGAAGAGUUUGGGGGAGUAUAAACAGACUAUAGGCGUGCCCCUCUACACUCAUCUUAAAAGGCUGUUACUGUCGUUAGUGUUUCCAUGAUGCAAGGGUGACCGUGUAGGUACACAGGUGACAGUGCGGAGAGUGUGGGUACACAGGUGAUGGUGUGGGUGCAGUGUGGGUAAUGAUGCAGGUGCAUGGGUGACGGUGCAGGUGCGUGGGUGCCACGGCAUGCGUGUGGAGAUCAUAGGAGAGUUUUCGGUAUUUUGGUAUUUCAGGAACCGGUUUGCUCCUUCCACCAUGUGGUUCUGAGGUAUGAACUCAGGUCAUCAGGCCUGGCAGCCUUUACCUCAUGAGUCACCACAAUGGCACCUCUUUGGAUCUCUCCUGUUUGCUGUCGCACUGCAAAUGCCUCUACCUUAGGACAUCGCUUUCGCCUAGCAAAGACUUUUACCAACUGAGUCAUCUCCC
rnacentral:lncRNA from 1 species